rnacentral:rRNA from 1 species
GUAAGCGCCACAACUCGAUGGAUAGGGGUUCUGAGAGGAAGGUCCCCCACAUUGGAACUGAGACACGGUCCAAACUCCUACGGGAGGCAGCAUG